rnacentral:rRNA from 1 species
CCGGCGACCGGCGCACGGGUGAGUAACACGUAUGCAACCUGGCCGUCACAGGUGGAUAACCGGAAGAAAUUCCGACUAAUACAGCAUAACACUCCUGAGGGACAUCCUUCGGGAGUCAAAGGAGGCAACUCCGGUGACGGAUGGGCAUGCGGCGCAUUAGGUAGUUGGUAGGGUAACGGCCUACCAAGCCGACGAUGCGUAGGGGUUCUGAGAGGAAGGUCCCCCACACUGGAACUGAGACACGGUCCAAACUCCUACGGGAGGCAGCAG